AUGCUUACCUGGCAGGGGAGAUACCAUGAGCACAAAGGUGGUUUUCCCAGGGCGAGGCUUAUCCAUUGCACUCCAGAUGUGCUGACCCCUGCGAUUUCCCCAAAUAUAGGAAGCUCGACUGCAUAAUUUGUGGUAGUCGGGGACUGCGUUCGCGCUCUCUCCUG
rnacentral:snRNA from 1 species